rnacentral:rRNA from 1 species
CCAAUAGCGUAUAUUAAAGUUGUUGCAGUUAAAAAGCUCGUAGUUGAAUUUCGGGACCAAUAUGUCGGUCGUGCCUCGGUACGUACUGGUAUCAUUGGUUUCUCCUUUCUGAAGAACCAUGAUGUCAUUUAUUUGGUGUCGUGGGGAAUCAGGACCGUUACUUUGAAAAAAUUAGAGUGUUUAAAGCAGGCUCACGCUUGAAUACAUUAGCAUGGAAUAAUGAAAUAGGACGUUUGAUUCUAUUUUGUUGGUUUCUAGGAUCGACGUAAUGAUUAAUAGGGAUAGUUGGGGGCAUUAGUAUUCAAUUGUCAGAGGUGAAAUUCUUGGAUUUAUUGAAGACUAACUACUGCGAAAGCAUUUGCCAAGGAUGUUUUCAUUAAUCAAGAACGAAAGUUAGGGGAUCGAAGACGAUCAGAUACCGUCGUAGUCUUAACCAUAAACUAUGCCGACUAGGGAUCGGAUGAUGUUAAUUUUUUAACGACUCAUUCGGCGCCUUACG